rnacentral:rRNA from 1 species
UGAGUAAUGUCUGGGAAACUGCCUGAUGGAGGGGGAUAACUACUGGAAACGGUAGCUAAUACCGCAUAACGUCGCAAGACCAAAGAGGGGGACCUUCGGGCCUCUUGCCAUCAGAUGUGCCCAGAUGGGAUUAGCUAGUAGGUGGGGUAAUGGCUCACCUAGGCGACGAUCCCUAGCUGGUCUGAGAGGAUGACCAGCCACACUGGAACUGAGACACGGUCCAGACUCCUACGGGAGGCAGCAGUGGGGAAUAUUGCACAAUGGGCGCAAGCCUGAUGCAGCCAUGCCGCGUGUGUGAAGAAGGCCUUCGGGUUGUAAAGCACUUUCAGCGAGGAGGAAGGUGGUGAGCUUAAUACGCUCAUCAAUUGACGUUACUCGCAGAAGAAGCACCGGCUAACUCCGUGCCAGCAGCCGCGGUAAUACGGAGGGUGCAAGCGUUAAUCGGAAUUACUGGGCGUAAAUUACACGCAGGCGGUUUGUUAAGUCAGAUGUGAAAUCCCCGGG